GACGAACGCUGGCGGCGUGCUUAACACAUGCAAGUCGAACGGAAAGGCCCUGCUUUUGUGGGGUGCUCGAGUGGCGAACGGGUGAGUAACACGUGAGUAACCUGCCCUUGACUUUGGGAUAACUUCAGGAAACUGGGGCUAAUACCGGAUAGGAGCUCCUGCUGCAUGGUGGGGGUUGGAAAGUUUCGGCGGUUGGGGAUGGACUCGCGGCUUAUCAGCUUGUUGGUGGGGUAGUGGCUUACCAAGGCUUUGACGGGUAGCCGGCCUGAGAGGGUGACCGGCCACAUUGGGACUGAGAUACGGCCCAGACCCCUACGGGAGGCAGCAGUGGGGAAUAUUGCACAAUGGGCGGAAGCCUGAUGCAGCAACGCCGCGUGCGGGAUGACGGCCUUCGGGUUGUAAACCGCUUUCGCCUGUGACGAAGCGUGAGUGACGGUAAUGGGUAAAGAAGCACCGGCUAACUACGUGCCAGCAGCCGCGGUGAUACGUAGGGUGCGAGCGUUGUCCGGAUUUAUUGGGCGUAAAGGGCUCGUAGGUGGUUGAUCGCGUCGGAAGUGUAAUCUUGGGGCUUAACCCUGAGCGUGCUUUCGAUACGGGUUGACUUGAGGAAGGUAGGGGAGAAUGGAAUUCCUGGUGGAGCGGUGGAAUGCGCAGAUAUCAGGAGGAACACCAGUGGCGAAGGCGGUUCUCUGGGCCUUUCCUGACGCUGAGGAGCGAAAGCGUGGGGAGCGAACAGGCUUAGAUACCCUGGUAGUCCACGCUGUAAACGGUGGGUACUAGGUGUGGGGUCCAUUCCACGGGUUCCGUGCCGUAGCUAACGCUUUAAGUACCCCGCCUGGGGAGUACGGCCGCAAGGCUAAAACUCAAAGGAAUUGACGGGGCCCCGCACAAGCGGCGGAGCAUGCGGAUUAAUUCGAUGCAACGCGUAGAACCUUACCUGGGUUUGACAUGGAUCGGGAGUGCUCAGAGAUGGGUGUGCCUCUUUUGGGGUCGGUUCACAGGUGGUGCAUGGCUGUCGUCAGCUCGUGUCGUGAGAUGUUGGGUUAAGUCCCGCAACGAGCGCAACCCUUGUUCACUGUUGCCAGCACGUUAUGGUGGGGACUCAGUGGAGACCGCCGGGGUCAACUCGGAGGAAGGUGGGGAUGACGUCAAGUCAUCAUGCCCCUUAUGUCCAGGGCUUCACGCAUGCUACAAUGGCUGGUACAGAGAGUGGCGAGCCUGUGAGGGUGAGCGAAUCUCGGAAAGCCGGUCUCAGUUCGGAUUGGGGUCUGCAACUCGACCUCAUGAAGUCGGAGUCGCUAGUAAUCGAAGAUCAGCAACGCUGCGGUGAAUACGUUCCCGGG
rnacentral:rRNA from 1 species